AGAGCAUGUCAGAAACGGAGCAGAGUGAGAAAUUAGGCUUCCGAGAGACAUGCCCCUUUUUGGAUUUAACAGAGCAUGUCAGAAACGGAGCGGAGUGAGAAAUUAGGAGCGCGCAAAAAAGAAAAAGGUUACUAAAACAAAAGUGAAAGAGAUACAAAAGGGGGAAGAAACGCUGCCAGAGGAAAAAAUAGGUAUGCCCCGGAGGACGAAGUUCAAGUCAACCGGAGAGGAUACUUUGUAUCCAUUAAAAGAAUUAGAAGCCUUAGAACUGGCUGGCAGUGACUCUGAGCAAGAGUUGUCAGAGUCCGAGGAGGAGGAAUUAGAGGAAGAGGCAGCCAUAUAUGAGGAAGAAAGAUAUGGGCCUAGGUGGAGAGCCACUGUGAAGAAACCUAAAGUUAUGGAUCCUUUGUGGGCAAGGCUGGUAAUUUUGUUUCUUUUUUUCUUUGUGUGGGAUAGAGAAGCCACAGACGGCAAGCUUAAGCCCGGACCAAAACCUCUUUGGCAAAUGGUCCCUGCCUGCUUAGAGGAUAAACAAUGUGAGGAAGCCGUUAGAGCCGUUAGGACAGAUCAGAGGGUCCUUGCAGAGCAACAAAGUAUGUCAGAGGGAGAAAAGGUCUCCAAAGAAAAAAAGAAAAGAAAAGGAGAUAAAAGGAACAGAGA
rnacentral:lncRNA from 1 species